ACGUGGAUAAUUUCAAUUAAAAUAUAAUUAGUAUUCUAAUAAUUGGAAAAAAAAAAAAAAAACCCCCAACAGAAUCCAUAACCCCUCUAGCCCUAAUUAUAAUAGCGUGAUUUAUUUAGAGUUGGACUUAAAAGUGCCACGUGUCAAAAAAUUAGUGGAAUCCGAUUUAUAUUAAAUAUCGGCUCAUCCGAUCAGAAUUUAAUCUCAUU
rnacentral:lncRNA from 1 species